AUGUCAGAUUCCUAUGGCCGCAACAUAAUGUACAUGCAAUUCAUAGUCAUCAAGGUUUUAUCAUCACGAGGGCAGUUAGCAGAGGAUAAGAAGGGCACAAGAGAAAAUAUUUCCUUCACAAGUCCAUAUAAUUAUAUUAGGUGUUGUUGUGUCUUGCUAGUUGCAAUGGGUAAAGAGAAGGCACAGGUGAAUAUUGUUGUGGUUGGUCAUGUUGAUUCUGAUGAGAAGCCAACCAGCAACGAGGAAACCAGCAAGGUUGUUGUUGCUGUUGAGAACAAAGCUGAUGAGAAGAUAUGA